UACGUAGGGUGCAAGCGUUAAUCGGAAUUACUGGGCGUAAAGCGUCCGCAGGUGGCUUGAUAAGAUAGACGUGAAAUCCCUGGGCUCAACCUAGGAAUUGCGUUUAUGACUGUCUCGCUAGAGUAUGGGAGAGGGGGGUGGAAUUCCGCGUGUAGCAGUGAAAUGCGUAGAGAUGCGGAGGAACACCGAUGGCGAAGGCAACCCCCUGGCCUAAUACUGACACUCAUGGACGAAAGCGUGGGGAGCAAACAGG
rnacentral:rRNA from 1 species